rnacentral:rRNA from 1 species
UACAGAGGUCUCGAGCGUUGUUCGGAUUCAUUGGGCGUAAAGGGUGCGUAGGUGGCUUGGUCAGUCGGAUGUGAAAUCCCGGGGCUCAACCCUGGAACUGCAUUCGAUACUGCCGGGCUAGAGUACUGGAGAGGAGAUUGGAAUUUACGGUGUAGCGGUGAAAUGCGUAGAUAUCGUAAGGAAGACCAGUGGCGAAGGCGGGUCCCUGGACAGUUCCUGACGCUGAGGCACGAAGGUCAGGGGAGCAAACGGG